GAGCCCGCGGCCGCCGCGCCGGAGGGAAAGUUCGGCGGCGGCGGAGCAGCGGGAGCCAGGCCGGGCAGGCAGCCCGAGGGCGCCUCGGGAUGAAAGUUGUGACUGUAGCAGAGAGAUCUCUCAACAUCCUUUGGACACUCUCAGCAAGACUGUGAAGGUUCACCUGGGAGGUCUCUAGGGGAAAAUCAACAUGCUGUGACAAAGAGACUCCGUGUGAAUUUAGUGCCUUAGCAAAGGUAAGUCUGAGGGGAGCAUUCCAGAUGGGCAGAGUAGUUGUGCUGCAUGGAGUCUUUGAAGGACCCAGGUUCCUCCCAAUUCAUGGCUCCAUCAUCUUCCCUGUGAUAGAGCUGGCUGACAGCCUUGAGAAGAUUCUGCCCGGGGAACGGAAGAAAGCAGAGGUUGCUUGUGAUAACUUUGUGAUACUUUUGCUCCCCUUUCAUUGGAGAGAACUCAGUCAUGCCACCUUUGUCACAUGGCUAUACCUACCUGCUAGAAAGGCUGGGCAAUGCUCACCAGCUAUGGUAUUGGGAGAAAAGGAGAGCAGAUUCUGAUGGGUGGGUAGUCAGUCUGCAGUCCCCGCUAUAUAUGUAAAAAAGGAGCACAUAAUUAUCUCCAUAAAAAUAGCCUAUCAUCACUCUAAGAAAUCUUGAAGGAAAGAAAAUGUAUAAAAAUGGGAUAAAAUCACUUCUAACUCCACUGAAGUGGACUUGAAAAACAGACAAACUACCCAACGACCACUCCUUCUCACAAGCUCCCUGAUUUCCUUGUGGGGAACUGGAUCUCUCCUCCAGAAGAUGGAGUCUGGCGCGGUUGAGAACCACUUGCCUUGUUCUCCUCUAGCCCCAAACUAGGAGAAUGGAAUGUUCCUUCCCAAGAACUUGAAUUUCGAGGAGAGCUGACAAAGAUAUUAAAAGUGCUGGUGACACCUCCUUCUGGUGGCACCUUGACCUGUAUUCCUAUGUGAAGAUGUUCUUGGAAUUGCUGUCUAGAAGUUUCUAGAACUGCAAUUGUGUUACUUUUUAAGCUUGGCUUCCCUCUUUUCAAUCCCUUGAGCUCCCUGUGACCCAGUGAAACCCUGUUUUGUUGAAGUUAGUCGGAAUGGAUUCCUAUUUUUUGCCACUAACAAACUCUCACCAAUACAGUUGCUAUUCAGAGGAAAUUUCUGACACUUCUUUUACUUUCCUUCUAUUGUCUUCUAAAAUAUAUAUGCACAUAGUCAAUACUGUAUUGUUCACACAGUUUUAUACCUAUUGUUAAAUAUUUUUACAUGAUGGCUAUAGUUAAUAAUGUAUUCUAUAUUCAAAAAUUACUGAAAUAAUAGUAGAUAUUACCAGUAGAAAAAUAGUAUGUGAAAUGAUAGAUAUCUUAAUUGCUUCAAAAUAUAUAUGUAUAUCAAAACAUCAGUUUGGAUGCUAUAACUAUAUACAAUUUUUACUUGUCAAUUAUUCCUUAAUGAAGAGGGUGAAACAAAAAAUAAAAGUGAAAACAAAAUAAAUCUAUGAAAAACAUGAGUAUUUUUUUCAUUUUAUGAAAGUAGCUAUAGAAUAUUGAUUGCAUGAGUGGUCCAUAUUUUUAAGGGAGUUAAUUUUUGUAUCCUAAAUAAACACCUUUUCCUUUAUUAUAUAUCAUUUUAGGACCCUGGCGGUAUUUUAUUUAUUAAAGUUCUUAUAUAUGGUUGCAAAAGACUUAAUUUUCACUUAAAGUUUAUAACUAUUCAUAAUUACCUUCCCCUUUUGCAAUAGUGGAAUUGAACCCAGGUCUUAGCACUGACCUAUAUUCUCAGCUCUUUAAAAUUGUUUAUUUUGAGUUUCCCAGGCUGGGCUCCAACUUGCAGUCCUUCUGACUCAGCCCCCGAG
ensembl:lncRNA